rnacentral:rRNA from 1 species
AACAAACGCUGGCGGCGUGCCUAAUACAUGCAAGUCGAACGGGGAAAGCUUUCGGGUGAGUACUAGUGGCGCACGGGUGAGGAACGCGUGGAUAAUCUGCCUUAGAGUGGGGGAUAACUAGUCGAAAGAUUAGCUAAUACCGCAUAAGACCACAGGAGCUGCGGCUCAAGGGGUCAAAGGUUUUUCGCUCUAAGAUGAGUCCGCGUAAGAUUAGCUAGUUGGUGAGGUAACGGCCCACCAAGGCGACGAUCUUUAACUGGUCUGAGAGGAUGAUCAGUCACACUGGAACUGAGACACGGUCCAGACUCCUACGGGAGGCAGCAGUAGGGAAUAUUGCACAAUGGGCGAAAGCCUGAUGCAGCAACGCCGCGUGAGUGAAGAAGGCCCUUGGGUCGUAAAGCUCUUUAGCCUGGAAAGAAGUGCCCUUAGGUGAACAAUCUGAGGGUGUGACGGUACCAGGAGAAUAAGGACCGGCUAAUUU